rnacentral:snRNA from 1 species
AACCCAAAGAGUGGAUUG